rnacentral:misc_RNA from 1 species
GAUGAAGAACGUAGCGAAAUGCGAUAAGUAGUGUGAAUUGCAGAAUUCCGUGAAUCAUCGAAUCUUUGAACGCACAUUGCGCCUUCUGGUAUUCCGGAAGGCAUGCCUGUUCGAGAGUCAUUAACAACCGUUUCGAUCCCUUUCUUUCAGAAAUUACAAAGAGGAAAAGGGUUUGGUUAUGGUGGAGGAGGGAAAGGGAGCGUUUAGCCUGAAAAAAAAGAGGCUGUGUUCCGCCUCCCCCCCAAAAUUGUACAGGCGGUCGUGUGCGCCCACGCAUCGAGGUGUUGUAAAAGCUGCCACGGCACUUUUCACCUGUGCAGUGCGAGAUUGGCCAGCCGGUUUAAAAACCCCUCCAAACAAUCAAAGGUUGACCUCGGAUCAGGUAGGGAUACCCGCUGAACUUAAGCAUAUCAAUAAGCGGAGGA